CCAGCAGUUAGCUCUCUGCAUUUCUCACAUGGUAAGCAGGGUUCCCACUAAACUAAAUUCCCACUAAAGCUAGGCAGGGUUGCGCCCGGUCAGUACCUUGAAGGGAGACUACAUGGGACAACUAGGUUGUUGCUGGAA
rnacentral:rRNA from 1 species